UACGAAGGACCCAAGCGUUAUCCGGAUUUAUUGGGUUUAAAGGGUGCGUAGGCGGGUUGUUAAGUCAGUGGUGAAAGCUCCGAGCCUAACUCGGAAACUGCCAUUGAUACUGACGAUCUUGAGUACAUUUGAGGUGGGCGGAAUGUGUCAUGUAGCGGUGAAAUGCUUAGAUAUGACACAGAACACCGAUUGCGAAGGCAGCUCACUAAACUGUAACUGACGCUGAGGCACGAAAGCGUGGGGGGCAAACAGG
rnacentral:rRNA from 1 species